GAUGAACGCUGGCGGCGUGCUUAACACAUGCAAGUCGAACGAAUCUUAAGGAGCUUGCUCCUUAAGGUUAGUGGCGGACGGGUGAGUAACGCGUGGGUAACCUGCCCUAUAGAGGGGGAUAACGUUUGGAAACGAACGCUAAUACCGCAUAAACUAUGGAUGUUCGCAUGAACAUUAUAGCAAAGAUUUAUCGCUAUAGGAUGGACCCGCGUUGGAUUAGCUAGUUGGUGAGAUAACAGCCCACCAAGGCAACGAUCCAUAGCCGGCCUGAGAGGGUGAACGGCCACAUUGGGACUGAGACACGGCCCAAACUCCUACGGGAGGCAGCAGUGGGGAAUAUUGCACAAUGGGCGCAAGCCUGAUGCAGCGACGCCGCGUGAAGGAUGAAGGUCUUCGGAUUGUAAACUUCUAUCAGCAGGGAAGAAUAAAUGACGGUACCUGACUAAGAAGCCCCGGCUAACUACGUGCCAGCCGCCGCCGUAAAAC
rnacentral:rRNA from 1 species